AACGUAGGUGGCGAGCGUUAUCCGGAUUUACUGGGCGUAAAGGGUGUGCAGGCUGCCCCUCAAGUGGUGUAUGAAAGGGCUCGGCUCAACCGGGCUAGGUUAUGCCAGACUGAGGGGCUAGAGAGCGAGAGCGGGACGUGGAAUUCCGGGUGUAGUGGUGAAAUGCGUAGAGAUCCGGAGGAACCCAGAGGCGAAGGCGGCGAUCCUGGCUCGCAUCUGACGCUCAGACACGACAGCAUGGGGAGCGAACGGG
rnacentral:rRNA from 1 species